UACAGAGGGGGCAAGCGUUGUUCGGAAUUACUGGGCGUAAAGGGCGCGUAGGCGGCCUGUUAAGUCGAACGUGAAAUCCCCGGGCUCAACCCGGGAACUGCGUCCGAUACUGGCAGGCUUGAAUUCGGGAGAGGGAUGCGGAAUUCCAGGUGUAGCGGUGAAAUGCGUAGAUAUCAGGAGGAACACCGAUGGCGAAGGCAGUUCUCUGGGCCGUAACUGACGCUGAGGAGCGAAAGCGUGGGGAGCGAACAGG
rnacentral:rRNA from 1 species